rnacentral:rRNA from 1 species
CGCGGCCUAUCAGCUUGUUGGUGGGGUGAUGGCCUACCAAGGCUGCGACGGGUAGCCGGCCUGAGAGGGUGUCCGGCCACACUGGGACUGAGAUACGGCCCAGACUCCUACGGGAGGCAGCAGUGGGGAAUAUUGCACAAUGGGCGCAAGCCUGAUGCAGCGACGCCGCGUGGGGGAUGACGGCCUUCGGGUUGUAAACCUCUUUCACCAUCGACGAAGCCUUCGGGUGACGGUAGGUGGAGAAGAAGCACCGGCCAACUACGUGCCAGCAGCCGCGGUAAUACGUAGGGUGCGAGCGUUGUCCGGAAUUACUGGGCGUAAAGAGCUCGUAGGUGGUUUGUCGCGUUGUUCGUGAAAUGCCACAGCUUAACUGUGGGCGUGCGGGCGAUACGGGCAGACUGGAGUACUGCAGGGGAGACUGGAAUUCCUGGUGUAGCGGUGGAAUGCGCAGAUAUCAGGAGGAACACCGGUGGCGAAGGCGGGUCUCUGGGCAGUAACUGACGCUGAGGAGCGAAAGCGUGGGGAGCGAACAGGAUUAGAUACCCUGGUAGUCCACGCCGUAAACGGUGGGUACUAGGUGUGGGUUUCCUUCCUUGGGAUCCGUGCCGUAGCUAACGCAUUAAGUACCCCGCCUGGGAGUACGGA